UAGAACUUGUUGAAUGAUGAAAAAGUAGUUUGAUUGUGUGCAGCCAAAAGAGACUGGACGGCAGGUGGAAGUCCAGGCAGCAAAUCAAAUGAAUUACGCCAUCUGUAUUUUUCAGCAAACAAUGAAGUGGAUGCGUCGAUGGAAGCGAGGCAUCAAAUUGGGUGGUAACGCGGAGAAAACCUUCGUCCCUUUA
rnacentral:misc_RNA from 1 species